AAGAGGUUCCCAGGACUCUGCUGGGUAGUGACCCCUAGGCAGGCUUACUCCGGAGCCCCAGAUAGGGCACAGGGCAGUGGAGUUGCCUGGGCAGAGGGUCAGGAAGCAGGAUGAUCUUGUGAGGGCCCCAUUCCAUUGGAACUAACUUUUCCCUAUUCUCACCUUAAGGCCCAAGUCCCCAGGUCCAGAGAAGAGGGCUCUCUGGGCUCCUCCUUGGGAGGGUCUGGCAGUUUCUUUGCAGAAGAUGGAGCACUGUCGUCCUCUAGUGGUCUUGGGAGAGGGUGCAAAGACUUGAAGAGAAAGAAACUGCCGGACAGGCGGUCAAGGUUCAAGCGCUGGUUAAGCCUGCUGCCCUCACCCCACCUUUAGCAGAUCCUUGAGAUGUCACCAGAUGACCUGAGAAUCCAGACUCCUGUGAAUGGCCUUGUGGAUCCAGAGAGAGCACAAAUGAAGAAGAGUGGCAGAGGAAGGGAGAGAGAGAAUCCCAAGCAGGCUCCACACUCAGCACAGAACCCACCGCGGGGUUCGAUCCCACGACCCCAGGAUCAUGACCUGAGCGGAUAUCAAGGAGUUGGAAGCUUAACUGACUAAGCCAACCAGGCGCCUCCAUCGUUCCCUUAUUAAUAAACAUGUUAAUUGUAUGCAAAAUUUCCCAGUUAUUAACAGCACUAUCAUGCAGUCCUUGAAGCUCUUUUUGCUCAUCUCACAAUUUCUAUAGAAGAAAUUCCUUAAAGAGGAAAGUUAAGUCAAAAAAUAUGCAAAGAUCUAAGGCUUUAGAUUUCUGCUGCCAAACGGCUCUCCAAAAACACUGAAACAAUUUACAACUUCCCCAUCAACGUGGGAAUAUCUACUUCCCUAUAACCUAACCCUGGGUAUGAUUUACUUUUCAUCUUCAAUCCGUGGGAUACUUAAAAUAUAAGGCAUCUCACUGAUGUCACAAUUACCGUUUCUUAUUAUUGGCAACCACUACAUUUUAUUGUUUGAGUAUUGCCUAUCUUAUUGUAAAUUGCUUUUCCUUGUCCUUUGCUGAUUUUUUGACAGGAGUUAUUGCCACAUCAUAAGAAUGCUAGUAAAAACGACAAUCUUUUGUUGGCCAGAUAUGUUGAAAGUAUUUCUCCUACUUUAUGAUUUGACUUUCAAUUUUAUUUGGAUGUUUCAUAGGUAAAGAGAAAAAUUAUAAUUUGUUAGCCAAAGCUA